AUAGCCUUCACAUCUGCAGAAAUUAGGUUAGGAUGAAUAGAAAUAUAGUAAAAUUAAUGUGAGAUUAAUUGAAUUGUCAGCAUGAGUCGAGUGGACGAAGCGCCUACCACCCAUGUAACCCCAUCCUACUUUUGGGAAUGUGUCACUUUUUCCAGCGAUUGUCCAUUCUUCUCAAUCCAUGAUCCAAAUUUAUAUUACUUUGGGGUCGUUUUAGUCUGUUUGUACGCAGCGUUUUUGCUCAUGAUUCUUGCUGACUUGAAAUUUUAUUGGUCCGUCGAUCAUUUCCAACACCAAAUAGAUUAUUAUAUAAAUUUGGUAAGAAAGAAGGUAAGGCAAGUGCAGUUAGACCAGAGGAGAUUGAUGUCAACGCAGGAGAGGACAGAGAAACAGUUGAAGAGAAGCGAAGAUUGCAAGCGUGUCGUGACGGGUAUCAGGACAGCACUAACGAUGGACGACCCCAGACAAUUUACCGAGUUGACAUCGUACUUCGCUGACACAAAACCUCCCAGCAAGAAUACCUGGAAUGCAACGAGACGGUGCCCGCAGAAUGAAAUAAGCGACUGGUGCUUAUAAGGCGUAUUGUGGGAAGUAAAACAAAUUGUGCGUCACCACGAACUGGCUCUGGUUUAAAGUUAAGCAAUUACGAAGAAGCAAGCUGUGAGAUUGCAUCAGGCGAACUUCUUGUUUUCCCUACUGAAAACUAUCUUCAUUACGCUGGAUCUGUGUAUCUGCUAUCUAAAUCGUACACAAACAUUGUUUUGCAACCACAUUCACGUUGCACAUACCCUGUUUCCCGAACUAGAUUUGGUCGUAUAUGGCUAAACAGUUGGCUCAGCUCCAAUCGCUUCCUUAACCGUUUUAAAAUUAUUUAUUCGCAGAAAGUAAAAUAAAUAAAACCAAAACAUA